GACAGAGUGAGGCAGCUGGUGACAUGACUUCUGUAGUCAGGACACUGAGAGAUGGACGUGGUACUCAGCUUUCUUUCUUUUUUUAUCCCUUUGCGUUCAGUUCACCAGCCCAAGCCAUAGGGUGUUACCACCUCCAUUCAGGGUGGGCCUUCCUUUUUCAUUUUUAGCACCCCAGAUAAAUAACUUCUAAGCUUGGGUCUCUCUCCUCCCCUUUCCUCCCCCCACCCCGUCUUCUUUCCCUUCUCUUUUUUUUCCUUCCCUCUCCUCUCUUCCCUUCCUGUCCCCUCUCCUCUUCUUCCCCUUUUUUCCCCUCCCAUCUCUCCUCCACCUCUCCUUCCUCCCAUUUUCUUUCCUCCUCUUCCCUUUUUUCCUUCUUCCCUCCCUUCUCUCUCUGUUCUCCUCUCUUCUCUCUCUGUUUCUCUUCUCUCUGUCCUCUCUCUCUCAAGUGGGUCUCACUGAGCCCACAUUAUUUUCAAAUUUACUAUGGAGCUGAGCUGAAUCUUGAUGUUUGCACAGCCACAGCCACUUUGUGAACCAUGGGGAUUAAGCCCAGGGCCUUCUUCAUGCUAGGAAACAAUAUAGAGAGGAUUCCUCCCUUUCCGAGGGCAUUCUCACAAGAACACAAAGGUGACACAGAACUAAAAAGCACGGAUCUGCUUCUUUUCUCCUACAAGAUGGUUUCCGAACCUCCUUCCCCAUUACUUUUGUCCCCAGGUGGUCAGUCUUGGCUCCACUCGUCACUGUACAGUCUUACAUGGAAGGAAACAAAACUGGAAACGAUGCGUUGAGUGGGAGCCAACAUCAAAAUGCCCAGCCAUCAUCUGCCAGGGCUGUUUUCAAUGAGCAGCAACUCUUAUGAAACACUUAAUUUCAAAACAUUUAAAAAAAAAAAAAAGCAUUUGGCAUUAAUUUAAAGGAAAACAAGCAUCCCAGUAAAUCAGUUCUGUUAAUGUUUACAUGUAUAUUACAAUGGAGCCAUACACGUUUCACAUAUACGGUCUGUUGA